rnacentral:rRNA from 1 species
GAUGAACGCUGGCGGCGUGCUUAACACAUGCAAGUCGAACGAGAGAAGAUCGGUGCUUGCACUGAUCCGAUCGAGUGGCGGACGGGUGAGUAACGCGUGGGUAACCUGCCUCAUACAGGGGAAUAACAGUUGGAAACGGCUGCUAAAACCGCAUAAGCGCACAGUAUCGCAUGAUACAGUGUGAAAAACUCCGGUGGUAUGAGAUGGACCCGCGUCUGAUUAGCUAGUUGGUGCGGUAACGGCCCACCAAGGCAACGAUCAGUAGCCGGCCUGAGAGGGGGAACGGCCACAUUGGGACUGAGACACGGCCCAAACUCCUACGGGAGGCAGCAGUGGGGAAUAUUGCACAAUGGGGGAAACCCUGAUGCAGCGACGCCGCGUGAGUGAUGAAGUAUUUCGGUAUGUAAAGCUCUAUCAGCAGGGAAGAUAAUGACGGUACCUGACUAAGAAGCACCGGCUAAAUACGUGCCAGCAGCCGCCGUAA